AUUGCACAAUGGGGGAAACCCUGAUGCAGCGACGCCGCGUGAGUGAAGAAGUACUUCGGUAUGUAAAGCUCUAUCAGCAGGGAAGAAAAUGACGGUACCUGACUAAGAAGCCCCGGCUAACUACGUGCCAGCAGCCGCGGUAAUACGUAGGGGGCAAGCGUUAUCCGGAUUUACUGGGUGUAAAGGGAGCGUAGGUGGUUUGGUAAGUCAGGUGUGAAAGCCCGGGGCUCAACCCCGGGAUUGCACUUGAAACUAUCAAACUAGAGUGCAGGAGAGGUAAGUGGAAUUCCUAGUGUAGCGGUGAAAUGCGUAGAUAUUAGGAGGAACACCAGUGGCGAAGGCGGCUUACUGGACUGUAACUGACACUGAGGCUCGAAAGCGUGGGGAGCAAACAGG
rnacentral:rRNA from 1 species